rnacentral:rRNA from 1 species
UUAAGCAUAUCAAUAAGCGGAGGAAAAGAAACUAACCAGGAUUCCCUUAGUAACGGCGAGUGAACAGGGAUUAGCCCAGCACCGAAGCCUGUGGUCAAUUGGCUACUAGGCAAUGUGGUGUUUAGGCGAAUUCUUGGUACUACUGCUCCAUUCUAAGUCCAGCAAUGAGUACGGCUCUUUAGUAUGGCCCAAAGAGGGUGAAAGGCCCGUGUGAGUGGAGUAUGUGGUGUCAGGGGUUUGCCUUGGAGUCGGGUUGUUUGUGAAUGCAGCCCAAAGCAGGUGGUAAACUCCAUCUAAGGCUAAAUACUAGCACGAGUCCGAUAGCGAACAAGUACCGUGAGGGAAAGUUGAAAAGUACUUUGAAGAGAGAGUAAACAGUGCGUGAAACAGCUCAAAGGUAAACGGGUGGAGUUGAACUGAAAGCCUGGAGAAUUCAGCUGAUGAGUAUGAUUUGAGCUUGGUUAAAUUGGCCAGCUUUCAGAGUCCACUUAAUAAUGGUGGGUCCCUGCUCUUCGAGUGGGGAUGUGUGGUGCACUUAUCAGGUGCCAUGCGCUCUGGAUGACUGGGUCUGCUCGUCAGUGCACUUUCUCCAGGUAGUCACCACGACCGGUAUUAUGCCUGUCUGUUUUGAUCGAACUGUUCAGAUGAAGUCAUUUGACUUAAUUUGGAUUGUAUGACAGGUAGCCUGUCGAUUCCUUUAACAGGAUCGGUCGGUGUAAUGAGUUGGUUGAAAUGGAUCAGUGCAUGAUGCCGGAGAUGGCGGCUUGUGUUGGCGUGCGUGCUGUGACCUGCGGGCUAGAUCGGGUCUGGUGAGCAUGUAACCUGCGCAAAGUGGGUCUGUUCACGGCUUGGUUAUGUCCUGUGGGCAGUUGCGUGCGUGACACGUAUAAACGGGCCUACAGUCUGUGGUGUAGUUGUAGACUUUCCACCCGACCCGUCUUGAAACACGGACCAAGGAGUUUAACAUGUGCGCGAGUCAUUGGGUUUUACGAAACCCAUAGGCGCAGUGAAAAUGAAGGCUCGGUUUAUCUGAGCUGAGGCGAGAUCUUGUUGUUUCCUUUGCCUUGGAUGACCACCAAGCAUUCGAGCAGCAGGCGCAUCGUCGGCCCGUCUCAUGACGUAGCCAUAUAGUCUUGUACUGUGUGCACCGUCGGGGCGGAGCAAGAGCGUACACGUUGAGACCCGAAAGAUGGUGAACUAUGCUUGCGAAAGUUGAAGCCAGAGGAAACUCUGGUGGAGGACUGUAGCGAUUCUGACGUGCAAAUCGAUCGUCUGACGUGAGUAUAGGGGCGAAAGACUAAUCGAACCAUCUAGUAGCUGG